ACACAGUAUCAAAAUAACAAUUAAGCACAAAGACAGAGUAGCAAAUGAAUUCAAACAAAUCCCAAGGCUUGCAUCAGAUGAAGGCUCAGUGUCAAAAUAUUGGCAUUGGCCAAGUCCUUUUGCAUAGGGAAUGUUGCAUAAUCCUAGGUCCAAAAGUUCAAAUCAAGUUCAACUGUCCAACAUAUGUUUUUUAGUGUUUUUGUUGUUAUUAAGUAUUUUAAGGUUCUAA
rnacentral:lncRNA from 1 species